rnacentral:rRNA from 1 species
UACAGAGGUGGCAAGCGUUGUUCGGAAUUACUGGGCGUAAAGGGCGCGUAGGCGGUCUUUUAAGUCUUGUGUGAAAUCCCUCGGCUCAACUGAGGAACUGCACGGGAUACUGGAAGACUUGAGUUCGGGAGAGGGAAGCGGAAUUUCCGGUGUAGCGGUGAAAUGCGUAGAUAUCGGAAGGAACAUCAGUGGCGAAAGCGGCUUCCUGGACCAGCACCGACGUUCAGGCACGAAAGCGUGGGGAGCAAACAGGA